rnacentral:rRNA from 1 species
AUACGGAGGGUGCAAGCGUUACUCGGAAUCACUGGGCGUAAAGCGCGCGCAGGCGGGCUGAUAAGUUGGAUGUGAGAGCCUACGGCUCAACCGUAGAACUGCAUCCAAAACUGUCAGUCUAGAGUGUGGGAGAGGAAGAUGGAAUUAGUUGUGUAGGGGUAAAAUCCGUAGAGAUAACUAGGAAUACCAAAAGCGAAGGCAAUCUUCUGGAACACUACUGACGCUGAGGCGCGAAGGCGUGGGGAGCAAACAGGAUUAGAAACCCUAGUAGUCC